UUCGCAAUGCCCGAAAGGGUGACGAAGCGACGCCGCGUGGGUGAGGAAGGCCCUCGGGUUGUAAAGCCCUGUCAGGAGUUAAGAAAUGUAAGUGCGCUAAUAUCGCAUUUAUUUGACGAAGGCUCCAAAGGAAGCCACGGCUAACUCUGUGCCAGCAGCCGCGGUAAUACAGAGGUGGCAAGCGUUGUUCGGAAUUAUUGGGCGUAAAGAGCACGUAGGUGGGUUUGUAAGUCAGAUGUGAAAGCCUUCUGUUCAACGGAAGAAUUGCAUCUGAAACUACAAGUCUUGAGUGUAGGAGGGGAGAAUGGAACUUCUGGUGGAGCGGUGAAAUGCGUAGAUAUCAGAAGGAACGCCGGCGGCGAAAGCGAUUCUCUGGCCUAUUACUGACACUCAGUGUGCGAAAGCUAGGGGAGCAAACGGGAUUAGAUACCCCGGUAGUCCUAGCCGUGAACGAUGGGCACUAAGUAGAGGGGUUUU
rnacentral:rRNA from 1 species